UAUGGCCAUAUCAUGUUGAAACAUUGGUUUUCAUAUGAUCACCAAAAUUAAGCAACAUCAAGCCUGGUCAGUAUCAAGAUGGGUGGCCACUUGGGAAUACAAGGUGCUGUAAG